UGUAUGUAACUAAUGUCAUAUUUUAGGAGAUAUGUUUGUGUAGAUAUUCCUUAUUUAAAAAGAUUAAUUGCCUUAAUUAUUGUAUAUCUCUUCCUUUCAGAUUUGAUCUUUAUAUUUGCCAUUUUUAAGUAGAUGUGGUUGUGUAGAUAUUCCUAUUAGAUUUCGUAGAUAAUUUCUCAAUCUGAUUAAACAUCCUUUUGUGGAGGUAUUCUUAUCAUGUAGUGAUUAAACAUCCUCUCAUCAAGGUAUGUCAUUUUGCUUUUCUUUUUUUCCCUUUUUUUGAAUGAAAUUUGAUUCCCCAUUCCAAUAGGCGUAGGUAUAGAAUCAAUAUUCCAUGUUCAUUAAUUUUCCAUAAUAGGGUCCAUGUUAUUCAUCUAGAGGGUGCAAUCAUUGCAAGGACCAGCUUUGAUUCAAAAACAUUAGCAUUUCCAAUUUAUAGUCACACUACAUAUAAGGAUAUAUGUGAGGAAAUAUGGUUACAUGCUUCUAUAACACAAGAAAAUAAAUAUGGUAACAUGCUACUAUAACACAGGCAAAUAAAUCAAUCGCAGCUUCAGUAGAUAACUAUGCACACAACAACCUGCACACCGACAACUUCCUCAUUCAAGAUGGCUAGUACAUCCUUAACAAAUACUCCUGACUUCACUCCAUGCCACAGGGGCGACCUACAUGCAUACAUACCAACUUUCACCGGUUACAGCACAACAUAAUGCAAACAUAUACAGCAACCUUCUCAUGAAGAGGUACGAACCCUAUGUGAUACGGAGACACCAACUUGAAUAGGAACUCAUAAAAAGGGUAUCCCAUUUUUAUCCAUAAUUGUACCACUUACUUGUUCUCUCUUUUCGCCAAAUAAACCUUAAGCCUCUUUGCAUCAGGAAUCGUCAUGCACUUACCAACCCGUAGUCUCCAAACACCUAUGUUUUGAUCUACUGUUGGGUCUUCUUUUUCUUGGAAGGCGAUUGUACGACAAAAUCAUUAUCGUCCUUCUUAACAAUUUCAGCUUUUGCUUUUCCUUUCUUGGUCCUCUCAGUGAUGAAGUCGGCUAAAAUAAGGGGUUUUUUGCAUUUAGACCUCGACCUCAGGUUCAUUGAAAUUUGAUUCUCAUUCUCAACGACUUUGUUACUCGGAGCAUAUUAAUCAUACCUGCAAUCAAGAACUUGUAUAGUCUAUCAUACCUACUCAAUAUCAAAAACCUAGAACCAUCACAAAACAAAUACCUCUUCGUCAGGAGCACACACACCUUUUGAAUAGGUAGCAACCACAAUACUCAUGAACCGUACCAAUCGGAUAUGCUGUUGAACACAGGCAACCCACCAACAUCUGAUUGUGCAAUCCAUUUAUAUCACAAGUUUGUAGAGAUAUUGACACCAACUUUGAAUGUACAGAUUAGACUUUUUAAUGUGAAGAUUACGUAACCUCCAACCCAGAGGAGAAUUUUCAAUUGCUGAAAUCAAGGGUUAAGUAAUUCUGGGGCGACGUCUAUGGGCAGCCGUUUCAUGAUUGACUUCCAUCGGCAACAUUACUGGAUUUUAUUAUCAAUACUAUUUAAUAGGUGAAUGGGAAAUUUGAUAGUGGCAGCUUUAGUAAUUCUUAACAACAUUGGGUUUUAUUAUUUAUUCUAUUUAAUAGGUUUUUUUAUUUUGCAUAAACCUAAUUAAUUGGUUUGGGUGUAUAUUAAAACACUCUUAUGGAUGGGUUUAUUCUAAAAGAGGUGUGUCAAUUUGGGUGUAUAAUCAAAUUCCCCUUCUGAAAGCUUAGAGUAGUAUAACAUAGAAGACUUUUUCUUCUCGGUUGUUUCUGGUUCUGUGUUGGUGCUUUGGAGUUUCUGGAGUUAGCAGCUUCUGGAGUUUGUGGUUUCUGAAGUUGCUGUGCAGACAAGGGACGGUUGUGGUUGUCAACCUGUUGCUGAGAUAAUUAUCACUGAAGAACAGAGAGAUGGCUGGACAAUAUGUUGAACCUCUAAACAAUGUCGUAACGGAGCAAGGGGAAGAUUGUCCCAAGAUUGCUGACACUGACAUUUAUCAAUAUCAAUAUGACGCGGUUGCGAUGUCUUGACAUAGUUAUAAUAAUCAUCUAAUUAUCUGUCAGAUGCAGCAUAAGUAAGAAAAUAUUUUUGAGUCUCUCUACUAUUGGACCUCCUGGAGAGUCACCUUCUCGGAGAGGGAAAGAGAGGUUAAUUAAUUAAGACUGCUCUCAUCCCCAACAUUGUCAAGAUUUGCAUUGUCCUGAUAGUCCCGGUAGCAAUGCUUCUACUAAUGGGGAGUGGUAACUUAUUUGGUAGGAUUCCUAUGCCUUGGAGGAGGGCCAACUGAUGAAAGCUCCAUCUUCUAGGGAGCCAGACUUGGAAAAAGCAGAAAGGAAGUUCCCGGUUUGUAGUGACUAGUGAUCCAGAGAUCUAUCUAUAGGUAACAGGAUACUUGGCUCCAAUGAUUGCCUACAUACCCAUGUCACUUUCUUUUUCUUGUAAAUAACUGAGAUGGUGUUUGCAAAUACAAUGCUGCCUGAGUGAAACUGGAGAGGGAGGGAGGGAGGGAGAUUGGCCCUACACAUGAUGUGCAAGAUCAUAAUUGGUUUUAGCACUAAGGUGCUUUUCUGAAAAGUCUACUGCUUUCAAUGUUAUCCGUAAGCAGUCGCGGUAAAUAAUAAGUACCACAAAAACUUAUUACUCAA